UACGGAGGGUGCAAGCGUUGUCCGGAUUUAUUGGGUUUAAAGGGUGCGUAGGCGGCCCGUUAAGUCAGUGGUGAAGACCUCCAGCUCAACUGGAGAACUGCCAUUGAUACUGACGGGCUUGAGUACAGACGAGGUUGGCGGAAUUGAUUGUGUAGCGGUGAAAUGCAUAGAUACAAUCAAGAACUCCGAUUGCGUAGGCAGCUAACUAGGCUGUAACUGACGCUGAGGCACGAAAGCGUGGGGAGCGAACAGG
rnacentral:rRNA from 1 species